AUGCCGCGCCACCUGCUGCAGCAGCCCGUCGACCGCCUGGCCGCGAUGGCCGCCGCGCCGGCCGCGGUUGCCGGCAGUGGGACGAGCCUGCGCACGGAAACGCUGCUCAUCCUGGCGGCGGUGCUCUGCUUCCUGCUCUGCGUGGUCGGGCUGGCCAUGGUCGCGCGCUGCUCCCGCAUGUGCAAUCCCUCCGCCUUCUCCGUCGAACCGCCGGGCGCAAUGGCCAAGGCGCCGUGCGAGGGGAUGGAAAAAAAGGCGCUGGAGUCGCUGCCGACCGUGUCGUGGCAGCCGGAGUCGAGCAAGGAGGUGGACGAGGACGAGCCGGAGCGGCCGGAAUGCGCCAUCUGCCUGGCGGCGUUCGCACGCGGCGACGAGGUGCGCGUGCUCCCGCGCUGCGGCCACGGCUUCCACGCCGCCUGCGUCGACGUGUGGCUCCUCUCCAGCUCCACCUGCCCGUCCUGCCGCCGCGCCCUCGUCGUCGUGUCGCCGGCGCCGCCAACCACCCAUCCUCCCGCGGGUGCGACGACGUGCUGUGGCGUGGCAGGCCGCUGCCGGCCGUCGGCAUCGUAG
rnacentral:rRNA from 1 species